rnacentral:rRNA from 1 species
GACGAACGCUGGCGGCGUGCCUAAUACAUGCAAGUUGAGCGCUGAAGGUUGGUACUUGUACCGACUGGAUGAGCAGCGAACGGGUGAGUAACGCGUGGGGAAUCUGCCUUUGAGCGGGGGACAACAUUUGGAAACGAAUGCUAAUACCGCAUAAAAACUUUAAACACAAGUUUUAAGUUUGAAAGAUCCAAUUGCAUCACUCAAAGAUGAUCCCGCGUUGUAUUAGCUAGUUGGUGAGGUAAAGGCUCACCAAGGCGAUGAUACAUAGCCGACCUGAGAGGGUGAUCGGCCACAUUGGGACUGAGACACGGCCCAAACUCCUACGGGAGGCAGCAGUAGGGAAUCUUCGGCAAUGGACGAAAGUCUGACCGAGCAACGCCGCGUGAGUGAAGAAGGUUUUCGGAUCGUAAAACUCUGUUGGUAGAGAAGAACGUUGGUGAGAGUGGAAAGCUCAUCAAGUGACGGUAACUACCCAGAAAGGGACGGCUAACUACGUG